AACAUCGGGCAGCACUAAGAGUCUUAGAUCCAGGUCAGCACUGCCUAUGUCCAGCUCAGGUCCCGUCCUUCCUGCCCUGUGCAUUAUAUGUAAAAAAAAAAAAACCUCAAAUUCGUCUUAAAGGGAGGCAAACGACAAAGGGAAGCUCUUUCAAAAGCUGAGACCUUAACAGCAGGCAAGUUGCAGACUGCUGCUGAGACUAAAGAUGACCACAGUAUUCUGGUACACAUUAAGGACAAAGACUGUGUGGCUCUGGAGGUGCAGUACCACAAGAGCUGCUACCAGCAGUACACCAGAUUUCUGAAUGAGCCUGCUAGACAAGAGAAGGACAAGUCAUUGCCUGGAUGCUGACCCCUGCCUUUUUGCACCAUGCCACAGGACUUU